rnacentral:misc_RNA from 1 species
GAAAUGCGAUAAGUAAUGUGAAUUGCAGAAUUCCGUGAAUCAUCGAAUCUUUGAACGCACAUUGCGCCCUCUGGCAUUCCGGGGGGCAUGCCUGUCCGAGCGUCAUUACGCACCCUCAAGCCCGGCUUUUGUGAUGGGCCCCGGCGUCUCGUUCGCGAGACGGGCCCGAAAGGCAGCGGCGGCGUCGACCCGAUGAGCCCGAGCGUAUGGGGACUUCUGUCACACGUUCGCGGUGCGGACCGGCGCCUGCUUGACUUUUCUGAUUAUCCAGGUUGACCUCGGAUCAGGUAGGGAUACCCGCUGAACUUAAGC